AUCGCUGCAGAGACAGCCAAGGCUCAACUGCCUCAAUGCUGUACUUUGAAUGAAUUACCAAAUCCUGUCUCUAGGCUUUGAGAAAGGAACACCAUACCGGAUUGGCUUUAACCUUGAUUACACACUAAGUAAUACCCUGCAAUGCCUUAAGAUGAAUUAGUCAUCAUUACCCUGCUCCAUCAUCCACAUUCAAGCAUAGGGAUUUCUCCUGUCCCACACUAAUGAAAUUAGGGGCUUGUGGGGCUUUUUAUUGCACUCGACUGACGGGGUCUUGUAUCCUGUAGAGCUGUAGUACUGUGGAGGGUUGAGGUAGUACUGACUGGGUCUUGUAGUACUGUGGAGGGUUGAGGUAGUACUGACUGGGUCUUGUAGUACUGUGGAGGGUUGAGUUAGUACUGACUGGGUCUUGUAGUACUGUGGAGGGUUGAGGUAGUACUGACUGGGUCUUGUAGUACUGUGGAGGGUUGAGUUAGUACUGACUGGGUCUUGUAGUACUGUGGAGGGUUGAGUUAGUACUGACUGGGUCUUGUAGUACUGUGGAGGGUUGAGGUAGUACUGACUGGGUCUUGUAGUACUGUGGAGGGUUGAGUUAGUACUGACUGGGUCUUGUAGUACUGUGGAGGGUUGAGGUAGUACUGACUGGGUCUUGUAGUACUGUGGAGGGUUGAGGUAGUACUGACUGGGUCUUGUAGUACUGUGGAGGGUUGAGUUAGUACUGACUGGGUCUUGUAGUACUGUGGAGGGUUGAGGUAGUACUGACUGGGUCUUGUAGUACUGUGGAGGGUUGAGGUAGUACUGACUGGGUCUUGUAGUACUGUGGAGGGUUGAGUUAGUACUGACUGGGUCUUGUAGUACUGUGGAGGGUUGAGGUAGUACUGACUGGGUCUUGUAGUACUGUGGAGGGUUGAGGUAGUACUGACUGGGUCUUGUAGUACUGUGGAGGGUUGAGUUAGUACUGAC